ensembl:lincRNA
CCAUAGUGUAGAAGACAGAGGAAGAAGGAGGUGUCCACAUUCAUAAUUCACAUGAACUUUCUAAUGUCUUCUCUCACUCAUUUGACAGCUAAGGUCAAUAGGAACCACUUCAGCCCCAGACUCCUGUUUCUUAACCAGAAGAAUGGCUUCAAACAAGAGGAUAUAAUCUCAGGAGAUAAUGCAAGCCACCUAUCCGAAGAUGAGAAUGAGACUUAAGACACGCCAUUCAAGUGUGGGGAUGGAGAGAGCUGCAGGGAAACAUUGAGGCUCUCUGUCACAGUUACUCAGCUUCCUGGGCCUUUCACCCAAUCCUUGCGUGCAGCCUCUAUUUAUCAGAGCACAGACAUUAGAAAAGAAAUGAAGCUGAGUACCAUAUCUGAUUGGAACUGCAGGGGGCUUUCAAGAGACAGGAUGCAAUUACUUAACUUGGACGGCAGCCAGAGCCUCCACUCCUGUGAUCACUCUGAUUCCUUUGUAUUCCUCCAGCACCUUCUCUAGCACAGUUCAUUGCCAUCUUCCCAUUGGGGCUUAAGAAACGCUUUUGCUUUCCUAUCGGUUUUCCUUUUAAGCAAUUUCUUCUAACGGAAUAGCACCGAGCUUGUGAUAUUCCCAAUGUUGCGCAAGUCAUUUGGGGAAUUACAAGCAAAAUAUAAGGCGUGAUCUAUGGUGAUCAAGAAAUCUGGUCUGUUUGAGAGCAAUGGAAAGCAAAAGCAAGUACAAAACUGAGGGGCUACAAGCUAAUGCUAUUGCUAUGCCCAGAAAAGAAAGGGAAGCAUACACUCUCUUCUUGGCUACAGGGGACAUAGAAACUGAUUUUCUUUUGGUCAUAGCAAUACAUUGAAAAAUUAACUGGGACAGUGCAGGUGUGGUUUGAUUAUCUAUACUCUCCCCAUUGAUUUCUCAGUGUGUAGAAUUGUUCUCGCUAUCUAAAUCUACUUCUAAAGAAACAGUUUCCCUAGGAUCACUGUUUGGCCAGUGGCUUGCUCAAUGUGAUAUGCCACACAGCAGAUCUUCACUCAAAAUGAAUACGUUUUGACCUUCUAAACAAUAUGCAUUCAACUUGGUCCUGAGCAUGGUGGCAUUUCACUCUUAGAGCCUGAUGUCUACUGACGUUCCUCUCUCAUUAGGAACUGUAAUCAAUUAAAUCACAAAAAUCUCUUCUGCUCAUUUGUUAAGUGUCCUGUGCAUUUCACUUAUAUUUAUUCUUUGAAGUCAUUAGUUCAGGUUGUUAAAUGAACAUAAAGUUAAUUUAACAUUAUUGUUAAAUCUAAUAAAAAGCAAAUAAAAUGAUCAAGGAAUGGCUGUACUCAUUACUGCCCACUAUACAGCUAGUAUGGUCCUUCCCAAAAUCUACACUGGAAAGAUCAUGCUCCUUUGGACACUCUUCUUUUGAGACAGGGUCUCACUAUGUUGACUAGACUGGAGUGCAGUGGCCUAUUCACACACACAAUCAUCGCACAUGAGAGCUUUGAGCUUCUUGGCCCAAGGGAUCCUCCCACCGCAGUCUCCUGAGUAGCUGGAACUACAGAUACAUGUCAUCAUGCCCAUAAAGAUCAUGCUCCUUUGAAGAGCAUGGUAGGAAGACUACCAUUUUUAAAAAAUAUAAUAGAGGAUCUUCAUCACUAUUCAAAG